GCACUUUAAAGGCUAGCACAUUUAUUACUGCACGAGCUCUCAUUUCACAUGCAUGGUAGUCUAUCCAAACUUUUAGGAAUGUACUGUAUACAGAUUUGGUUGGCGCUGUAAAAAGUAAGGUCCGAGGGAAAUUGCUUGACGGCAACAGUUAGGUUACCAGCAUUGCCCAUCACCAAACUAUUACUAAUACGUUAAGUAGAGCCAAGAAAUCUACCUUUCGAAUGCACCGGUCACACGUGUUCUGUGCCAAAAGGCGGAACCGACUUAUAGCGACCCUUUCACGAUUAAGUGAGAUAUUUAAGGAAUGGCUGCACCAGUUCCCCUCCGCCAAUGAGUUUUCCAUGGGAUUCGACUCCUGAUCGACAGGGUCCUGAUCUAUCACUCUAUUCAGUACAUCACACUGGGAAAGCAAAGCUGUUAGGAUUUCGAUGAGUCCUAGCUGGAAAAUCCCAAAGGCCGGACAUGCCAUGCCGCUUUACCCCAAGUAAACACGAGAAGAAUGAACCCCACCAACACAGGUACUGUGCACACGCGCGCGCGCGCCCUCGAGACCAUACCUGUCCGAACACACACAAACCGGCCGCCUCCGUCCCGAACAUUAGCUUCUUCCACCUUCGAGGCGGUACGCCAAUCAGAAUACGGAUCGUCAUCACGAGUGGACGGCAAACCGGUAUUCGUGAGUGACUUGAAGAGCCGAGAGACAGGUUGCCAUGGCAAAGCUGAGGGACGCCGAGCUCACCACGCGGUGCAACCUGGGUCGUGGAGUUUGCAGUGCUCUGCUGUUACUAGGUUGCGCGGCGAAAGGACUUCAUUUCCCAGCAGGCUUUGCCGACGGCCGAAGCAGCUGCAAGGCUUGUGGGGAGGGCACUUCAUUUCCCAGCAGGCUUUGCCGACGGCAAAGCUGCAAGGCUUGUGGAGAGGGCGAGGAAAAAGGUUUGGUCUUGCUUGUUCAAUGGCGGUCAUGAGACCCCGAACUGAGCUUUAUCGCUGGCGACGUUUCACGCAGCCUUCGUCGCGGCAAAAGAAAAAAAUUGAUGCUGACAGUGUAGAACACUGGAUUAAGGUAAGAGGAAAUAAAGUGAUGUGCUGCCAUAGUGUACUUGAACUGAAGUAUCAUUUUUUCCCAAAUUAUUCAAUGGGACUGGCUUCCUAA
rnacentral:lncRNA from 1 species